rnacentral:rRNA from 1 species
AUUGAACGCUGGCGGCAGGCCUAACACAUGCAAGUCGAACGAGUGGCGGACGGGUGAGUAAUGUCUGGGAAACUGCCUGAUGGAGGGGGAUAACUACUGGAAACGGUAGCUAAUACCGCAUACCAUCAGAUGUGCCCAGAGGGGAUUAGCUAGUUGGGGGGGUAACGGCUCACCAAGGCGACGAUCCCUAGCUGGUCUGAGAGGAUGACCCGCCAAACUGGGACUGAGACAAGGUCCAGACUCCUACGGGAGGGAGCAGUGGGGAAUAAUGCACAAUUGGGGCAAGACUGAUGCAGCCAUGCCGCGUGUAUGAAGAAGGCCUUCCGGUUGUAAAGUACUUUCAGCGGGGAGGCGUUAACCGCAGAAGAAGCACCGGCUAACUCCGUGCCAGCAGCCGCGGUAAUUC